rfam:Loxodonta africana unplaced genomic scaffold scaffold_44, whole genome shotgun sequence.
CCAAAGGCUCUUUUAAGAGCCACCCACAAUGACACAGAGAAAGCUG